rnacentral:rRNA from 1 species
UACGAAGGGGGCUAGCGUUGCUCGGAAUCACUGGGCGUAAAGCGCACGUAGGCGGGUCGUUAAGUCGGGGGUGAAAUCCUGGAGCUCAACUCCAGAACUGCCUUCGAUACUGGCGACCUUGAGUCCGGGAGAGGUGAGUGGAACUCCGAGUGUAGAGGUGAAAUUCGUAGAUAUUGGGAAGAACACCAGUGGCGAAGGCGGCUAACUGGUCCGAUACUGACGCUGAGGUGCGAAAGCGUGGGGAGCAAACAGG